UUGACCUCGAAUCAGGUAGGGAUACCCGCUGAACUUAAGCAUAUCAAUAAGCGGAGGAAAAGAAACCAACCGGGAUUACCCUAGUAACGGCGAGUGAAGCGGGCAA
rnacentral:rRNA from 2 species